GGUGGGUCACCUUCUACAUAGAAAAUAGGAAUAUUCACCAGAGCCAGUCUGUCACCUCAAGGUCCAUGCGGAUCUGCUGAUUUUAGCUGUUUCACACUCAUGGUAGAGGACUGGGCUUGGAGCAAGUGACAGCUUGGACUGGGUGGGUCAUCAUAGGAAACUCAGACCAUCAUGCUGAUGUCACAAUGUCCUACUGUCUAAGAGUGAACCUGCCUCUCUGCCCAAGUAGGCUCAGUCCUUCCUAGAUGAGAGCUCCUGUGUGCUCAGGUAUCCAUCCUGAACAGCUCUUACUCAGUUUCAGUGGAUAAAUUCCGUGUGGAGACCAUACCUGCUGAAGGGAGUCCACAGAGCGAGGCUGGUGGCCCUGCUUCCUUGGGCAUCUUCUAGCAGGUAUGGCAGAGGAAUACUAUUGAAUUUUACUGCUUCCUGUCUGCAGUGAGUGGAUAGCACACAAGGUAGAAAGCUGUCUUUCUAGGGCUUGGGAUUCUUAAGUACAAAUAAAGUAUUGUGUGAAUUUUAAUAAAAUCCCACAAAAAUCCUGUUUGUUUGACUCAUUGCUAGUGAGCUAUCCCCCCAAAUCAGGGAAAUAGCCAGGUUUGCACAUCUGUAAUCCCAGCCUGGGGAGACUGAGGCAGUCUUGAGUUCCAGGCCAGCAAGAGCCACAUAGUUGAGACCCCAUCUCACAAAACAGAAAGAAAAAAAUCAGGAAAAUAUAAUCAGUCUGACCUGUCACUUCAAGUGUGUGACAUUCAUAGGCCACCACUAUUUCACAGAUGUAACACCACAAGUGUGGGAAAAUGGGUGACAUUUUAAAUUCAUGGUGAUGUUUAAAAAAAUUUUAAAGUCCUGAUCUAUUAUUUAACACCUCAUUUAACCCAAAUAUAUAUCUAAUGUAUUACUGAGAUGUUUUAUAUUCUGUUUUCCAGGUAGAAUUUGUGUUGGGUAAGUACUCAUGCCUGAAGCACAUCUUAAUUCAGAAUGCUUUCGUUUUCAGCCCAGGUGCUGAUUGUAGGAACAGCCCCUGCUUUGGUCAGCACAGGCCUAAGCAAUGAUUGGCCUGAAGCAGAAGCUCAUCAGUCAUGGGAAGGUCCUCAUCUGUAAAAGGCCCACCUCAUACCUGUGUGAAGGGUAAAGAAGACAAUGCAUACAGUGCUAGCUGACGAGCCAUGCUGCUCACUCUAAAGGAGGUGACACGUGAACUGGCGUUUGAAGAAUGAACAGCAGUAAAUACCAAGCUGAGAUGA